ACUGUGUCCUUGGCUCUGGAUCCAUAAGGCCUUAAUGCUUUAAGUGUGUAAAGAAAAGACGGCAGGAAUAAGGAGAGCUUUCAAGAGAUUGCUCUCAGCUUUUCCUGAUAAUCCUGAAAACCAGGAUUUUCUAAUCUCUACAGGCUUAAGGGGUUGUGCUGUGGUUGAGUUGGAACAGAGAAAGGAAACACACUCUUUCAUUGCUGAAUUCUAAAUAAUGAUGCCCUGGAAUUAGUUCUGUGGGAAGUACUGGCAGAAAGCUGUUUUGUCUGCAGGACAUCAAGAGGGAGGUGUAUAUCAUCCUACUAUUGGCAGAAACGUUUUAACCUCUUCUGUAGGUGUCUGUUCCAUCACGGUUUCUCAGUGGCCCAGAGAGGUGGCAGUAACAGGAAGUCAUCAGAGGACCAUGAUCCUUUAAGCUCUUAAUGGUCAAGCCACAGCAUGAACCGAAACCCAGAAAUUUUUCCCAGGAGGGUGCCAUCAUAUUUACAGGAACCAUAGAUGUACAACUUCCAUUUGGCAAGAACCACUUAGGUAGGUAGGUAGAGACAAAAUAUCUUUGCCUUCCCUUAUAUCUCAUUACUUGUUACAGAUUCAGUGAACUUAUAGUGACCAUCACCUCUGGGCCAGAUAUUUUCCUAGUCACUUGAGAAAUGGAAGUGAGCAAGAAAUUGACUCAAUUUUCAUGGGGCUCCUGAUUUUGUAGAGAGAGAAAAAUGGAAAUAAAACAUGAUCAACAGACUUAAAACA
rnacentral:lncRNA from 13 species